CGAGAGGAAAGUGAAGGGAAAACACUGGACUUCAAAGGAGAAUCAAAGGAGCUGUUUGCCUGGAGAACCAGAUGACCCAUUAAGCCACGUGCCUCUGUCCGCUCCCAUUAUGACUACAAGCCUUCACCAAACUCACAGGUUGCUUGAGCCCACGGGGCAAGUUUUGCAGUCAAAUCUAGCUUGACCGACAGCUGCAAAGUGCAGACACAUUGCUGGAAUAGAAAAGAGCUCUCAACCAAACUGGUAGAGAAGGAUGGCUGUGUGGAAGCAAUACUGGCAUGGGAUUCAUCAUCAUCUUCUGGCAACGGUCUUCUUCUGCUCAGU
rnacentral:lncRNA from 1 species